GGCUAUGGCCAUACCACGCUGAACACACCCGAUCUCGUCUGAUCUCGGAAGAUAAACAGGGUUGGGACUGUUUAGUACUUGCAUGAGAGACCUCGUGGGAAUACCAGGUGGUUUUUGCGG
ensembl:rRNA 5S_rRNA 5S ribosomal RNA